rnacentral:misc_RNA from 1 species
GAUGAAGAACGUAGUGAAAUGCGAUAAGUAAUGUGAAUUGCAGAAUUCAGUGAAUCAUCGAAUCUUUGAACGCACAUUGCGCCCUCUGGCAUUCCGGAGGGCACACCUGUCCGAGCGCCGUCGCAACACUGAGCCUUUUUCUGGCUUGCGUUGGCGACCGACUCUUGCGAUUGGCGAGAGUCGGCGCUCAAACCUCGACGGCGCCGCUCCGACGGCCGACGAAGCGCAAAAAGCGGAGUCGACCCCGGCGGCGGCGGCCUUGUAAGACCCACAAGCUUGGCCUCGGAUCAGGUGGGGAUACCCGCUGAACUUAAGCAUAUCAAUAAGCGGAGGA